GAUAUCAGAAAAAAAGAGGACGGUAGGGAACACGCAUGUUCACAUUUUGGGACAAUUUUUGCAUUUACUACACAUGGACUGAAGAUAGCUUGUUUUCAUCUAAAUCUUGCUCUUCGAGGAUGCAAACUGCCAAGGCAGAGUGUAGGAGUGCUGUGCUGACAGCCUGGACCUACUUGAGUUAAUACAACUUCAUCAAAAUGAAGGGCGGCUGUUAGGUGGUCUUUGAGCAUCCCGACUAUGCUGGCUGAGCUCGGACCACUACCCCAAUCGCCACAAGUGGAUGGCACACAACGACCAUCAAGUCAUGACACUCUGUCAAGAACAUGAGGCAACUAUAAAGGAUGAUCAAGGUUUUUGGAGUGACUGUGGGAUUAUCCUGCACUCUGGCCAAAUACCAGCAUUAGUGUGCAGUCAGAAAGCAGUAAUGAGCAGACAAAAAGGUGGGACAAAGGGCUCACGAUUUGGCAGCAGGCGGGCGGACACUCAAGCACAUCGGCUUCUUGCAAAACAACAGAACUGGCUGAUAUAGUGACGUUUAAAGCGAGCAGUCUGGAUGCCCUGUGGCUCCAAGUUGCCUCUCACAGUGCUCCUCCUGUGCCUUUCUCACCUCGCUGCCUGCUCCAGCCGCCAAGCCACUCCACCUGCUGCCGUUCACGCUUCCUGCUCGCUCCUUGUCAUGCCGGUCCACCACCCCACCUCGGAUAUCCUUACCCUGUGUCAACCUGCAAUAAACUAUUCAAAAUGUACUCAGUCUGGUCUUGGGUCCAAUCCAACUCCGAACGUGACAGAAUACUCAGGCCAUGACGGACCCAGCGACUACACAAGCGUUGAGGGAAGCGCUCGCCCAUCAGGGCGCCCAUAUCGGCAGACAAGACAAAGCCCUCCGCAAAAUCCUGGACUCAUUAACCACUCUCACACAACAAGUAUCCCUCAUGUCUUCCCAGCGCCACUCCAGCAAUCCACCUGUGAGUAUUCUUCCGUACAAAGAGCCUCAUGUUCCCCCUCCUGAGCUUCGGGGAACUUCGGGUCAUGUAGUCAAUUUCGACUAAACUGCCCAUUAGUAUUUGACCCACAACCGCUGAGCUAUCCGACUGACAGAUCCAAAGUUGCAUACAUCAUCAACCUCCUGUGUGGAAGAGCUGCCAAUUGGGCCACUGCGCUUUGUCAUAAUUCCUCCCCGGUACUCAGGUCACUAGACUCCUUUAUGGCCGAACUCAAAAAAGUAUUUGAUCAUCCCGUUAAGGGUAGGGAAGCCACUCGGCGCAUCUUAGCUCUCUCCCAAGGUUUGAGUUCUGUCGCAUCCUACUCAAUUGAUUUCCGGAUACUCGCGAGUGAAUGCGGGUGGGAUGGCGCUGCGCCAAGGGGAAUUUUUUUCAAAGGGUUAUCGGAACAACUGAAGGACGAGCUCACAACCAGAGACGAACCCCACCCUUGAUUUCUCUAGCCUCAAAAUCGACAACUGCCUCCGAGAGAGAGCUCGUGAGCAAGGAACUAGGAUGCGUAGUUUCACACCACUCACGGUGGCUGCGCCUCCUACCACUCCGCCGCACACUGAACCUCCAGCCGCCUCCUCUUCACCCCCCACUGGACCAGAGUAGCCAAUGCAAUUAGGCACCCAUUAUAAUAUGGACUGAUCACAAGAACCUAGUUUAUCUCCGUUCCGCCAAGCGGUUUAAUCCCAGGCAAGCUCGUUGGGCUUUUAUUUCUGAGCCGGUUCAAUUUCUGUCUCUCCUUCCACCCUGGUUCACACAAUGGCAAGCCUGAUGCCCUCUCCCGGAUGUAUGCACCCCCCUCCAGCCCAACUGAACCAGAACCCAUUCUCCCUUCCUCGUGCUUCGUUGGAGCAGCCACUUGGGAAAUCAAACGUGGUUAAAGAGGCUCAGAAGACUCACUCGCAUCCCAAGACCGGACCUCAUAACUGACUGUUCCUACUCGAUUCUGCACGCUCUGACGUCCUUCAGUGGGCCCACAACUCCAAGCCCACCUGUCAUCCUGGCAUCACCCGCACCAUCCAUUUCAUCCAGCAACACUUCUGGUGGCCCAGCCUAGUCAAAGACACCCGAGAGCUUGUCCUAGCCUACUCGGUCUAUGCCCGAGGCAAGGCUUCACAACAACCCCCAGCUGGUCUGCUGCCCCCCAUCCCCAUUCUGGGCCGCUCUUGGUCCCACAUCUCCUAGGACUUCGUCACUGGCCUACCCCCAUCUGAAGUUAACAAUCAUUCUCACCAUUAUUGACUGGUUCUCCAAGUGUGUUCGCUAAGUACGUCUUCCCAAAUUGCCCUCUGCCUUUGAGACUGCUAACCUUCUUGUUCUCCCCGUGUUCAGACUUCAUGGUAUCCCUGUUGACAUAGUUUCAGACUCAUCCCAGGUCUGGAAAGAGUUCUGCAAGCCAGUAGCAGCCAGUAGCAGCCAGUUUGUCUACCGACUACCAUCCCCAAACCAAGGGCCAGACAGAGCGGGCAAAUCAAAACCUGGAAUCCGCUCUUUGUUGCAUUGCUACUCGCCAUCCUGCCUCCUGGUACACAUUCCUCCCACGGGUGGAAUAUGCCCACAACUCCCUUACCAGCUCCGCCACAGGUAUGACUUCCUGUUCACCUCGGUUCAGUUAAAACUCCCCCAAUUGCUCAAAAUCCAUCAAACAUGUCUGCUUAAACCGGUGUCCACCGGUGCCCUUAGCCCUCCGGCCGUACCCCCGCCCCCUGCCCUCCCCUCCCCAUGUCAUCGAUGACCAUCCAGCCUUUAUGGUGCCGGGGCAGAGGAUUUCAAUUUUUGGUGGACUGGGAGGUAUGCUCUUGGGUCGAAUCCAACUCAGAUCGUGACAAUGCUAACAAUGCUGUUGCAUGUACUAAACCUGCAUUUGUAAAGGAUUUAUUAGGAGUUGGGUUUGCCUUGUAGAACUAUUUUAACCUUUGGCUUCAAUAAAAAGGA